CCCUUCCGUAGGGUGAACCUGCGGAAGGAUCAUUACUGUGAUUUACUACUACACUGCGUGAGCGGAACGAAAACAACAACACCUAAAAUGUGGAAUAUAGCAUAUAGUCGACAAGAGAAAUCUACGAAAAAACAAACAAAACUUUCAACAACGGAUCUCUUGGUUCUCGCAUCGAUGAAGAGCGCAGCGAAAUGCGAUACCUAGUGUGAAUUGCAGCCAUCGUGAAUCAUCGAGUUCUUGAACGCACAUUGCGCCCCUCGGCAUUCCGGGGGGCAUGCCUGUUUGAGCGUCGUUUCCAUCUUGCGCGUGCGCAGAGUUGGGGGAGCGGAGCGGACGACGUGUAAAGAGCGUCGGAGCUGCGACUCGCCUGAAAGGGAGCGAAGCUGGCCGAGCGAACUAGACUUUUUUUCAGGGACGCUUGGCGGCCGAGAGCGAGUGUUGCGAGACAACAAAAAGCUCGACCUCAAAUCAGGUAGGAAUACCCGCUGAACUUAAGCAUAUCAAUAAGCGGAGGAAAAGAAACCAACAGGGAUUGCCUCAGUAGCGGCGAGUGAAGCGGCAAGAGCUCAGAUUUGAAAUCGUGCUUUGCGGCACGAGUUGUAGAUUGCAGGUUGGAGUCUGUGUGGAAGGCGGUGUCCAAGUCCCUUGGAACAGGGCGCCCAGGAGGGUGAGAGCCCCGUGGGAUGCCGGCGGAAGCAGUGAGGCCCUUCUGACGAGUCGAGUUGUUUGGGAAUGCAGCUCCAAGCGGGUGGUAAAUUCCAUCUAAGGCUAAAUACUGGCGAGAGACCGAUAGCGAACAAGUACUGUGAAGGAAAGAUGAAAAGCACUUUGAAAAGAGAGUGAAACAGCACGUGAAAUUGUUGAAAGGGAAGGGUAUUGCGCCCGACAUGGGGAUUGCGCACCGCUGCCUCUCGUGGGCGGCGCUCUGGGCUUUCCCUGGGCCAGCAUCGGUUCUUGCUGCAGGAGAAGGGGUUCUGGAACGUGGCUCUUCGGAGUGUUAUAGCCAGGGCCAGAUGCUGCGUGCGGGGACCGAGGACUGCGGCC
rnacentral:rRNA from 1 species